rnacentral:tRNA from 1 species
UCUCUGGUGCCUUAGUGGUUAAGGAUUCCUUGUUGUCACAACUUGUGGCAUAGGUUCGAUCCCUGUCUGGGGAA